UGAGGAAUAUUGGACAAUGGGCGAAAGCUUGAUCCAGCAAUGUCGCGUGGGUGAUGAAGGCCUUAGGUUGUAAAACUCUUUCGAUGUUUAAAAAUUUAUGAUUUAAAUGUAAAAGAAGUCCCGGCUAACUUCGUGCCAGCAGCUGCGGUAAAACGGGGGGGGCAAGCGUUAUUCGCCUUUACUGGGCGUAAAGGGUUAGUAGGCGGUUUGCUGUGUUUAACAAGACAUUUCACAGUUUAUCUGUAUUUUUUGUUUUAAUUGACGCAUUCUAGAGUUUAGCUGAAGAUGUCGGUACUUUUGAUGGAGGGGUGAAAUCCGUCGAAAUCAAUUGGAGGACCACCGUGCGCGGAGGCUGAUAUCUAAGUUUUAAACUGACGCUAAGGUACGAAAGCGUGGGGAG
rnacentral:rRNA from 1 species